rnacentral:rRNA from 1 species
GACCUCCGAUCAAGCAAGAGGACCCGUUGAAUUUAAC